UUCCUGCGCGCGCGGCAGGUGGCGCGUGCGCGGUGCUCGCAGCGCUCCCCUCCUCAGCCGUGAGGGCGGUGGGCAAGAUGGCGCUGGGCUGCCGCCAAGGAUGCCGUAUGUGCGGCCCGGGUCCCCUGAGGCGGCGGCCAGUGGCCGCCCGGGAAUCGGAGGCCGGGCCUCCGGUACGGCCCUAUGCGGCGGCCGGCGGCGAGGCGGCGAGUGGGCAGGAGGAGCUGCUGCUGGAGGUGUGCCGGAGGCGGCACUUCUUGCGGGGCGAUCCGGAGCUUCGGGCCCGGAGCGCGCAGCUCCGCUUCGGGCCGCUGGGCGUGGCGCUGCGGGGCAACCUGGCGGCACAGUGGUGGGACGCGGUGCUGGCCCGCAGAGAGCAGGUGUUGGCGGUGGAUUCCCCGGUGCACGGCCGUCCCUCCGCCGGCUCCCCGCAGGCUCAGGGCGCUCCGCGGCUGCUGCACUCGGAAACUCUGCGCGAAAUUCUCCAGAGCGGGGGCUGCGGCCGGGAGCCCGGCGGUGCGGCUCUGCAAGAAGCGCUGGGCAGCGCCGGAGCGCUUCGUGAGAGCCUCCUGCCCGGUGCUUUGGCACAGUAUGUUAGCUGCUUAGAACUUGUGAACAAGAGACUGCCCUGUGGCCUUGCUGAAGUUGGAGUAUGUUUUCACUCCAUUCCAGGAAGUGAGCAACACAACGAAAAGCUUAGAAGAAUAGGCGAAAGGACUACAUCGUUACUUACGUGGUUUAGCUCUCCCAGAACUGCAGGACAGUGGCUUGAUUAUUGGUUACGUCAGAGACUGCAAUGGUGGAGAAAGUUUGCAGUGGGCCCAUCCAACUUCAGCAGCAGUGACUUCCAGGAUGAAGAAGGAAGGCGGGGAUUUAAUUUGUAUUAUGACUUUCCUUGGGGGAAGGAAACAAUAGAAACAUUGAAAAACCUUGGUGACACUGAACUGCUACAGAUGUAUCCAGGAGACAGAUCAAAAUUGCUGGGCCGGGAUGGAAGGAAGAAUGUUCUUCCUCAUGUUCUGUCUGUGAGUGGAAAUCUGGACCAAGGAGCAUUAGCUUAUCUCUUUGAUUCUCUCCAGCUGGCUGAGAAUCCUCUGACAACAAAGAAAAAUUCGCAGAGAAAGGUACUUAAACUUCACCCUUGUUUAACACCUAUCAAAGUGGCUUUGGAUGUAGGGAAGGGCCCAACAACAGAGCUGCGACAGGUUUGUCAAGGAUUGUUCAAUGAGCUAUCAGAAAAUAGAAUUGCUGUGUGGCCGGGUUAUCUUGAAACCACACAGCUAUCUCUGGAGCAGCUUUACACAAAGUAUGAUGAGAUGAGUGUUCUCUUCAUGGUCUUGAUAAGUGAUUCUACUCUGGAGAAUGGAGUGGUCCAGCUGAGAAGCAGAGACACUACCAUGAAGGAAAUGAUGCACAUUUCUAGUAAAGACACAGCAGAAGAAUUAACACACCAUCAGCAACUUGGUUGCUAAUAACAUCUCCUGCAUGGUUCCAAAAUUAAGCUGUGGAAUAUUUCCCCCUUUAGCUUAGAUGAAGUUAUACUCUUAUGUUUCCCAUGCUUUUGGUUUAGCUGUGGUUAACAGAACUACCCAGAGUGCAAAUUGCACACAACCACCACAGCUGAAGGAGGGGAGGCUGCUGCUGUCAAUGACCCUCUCUUUCGUAGAGAUCAGAGAGAAAAGGGAAACUGUUAUUGCCCCAAGGCAGAGCGGAGUGGACCAGGGAUCUCUUCUAAAAGAGGAGAUCCAGAGUCUGAGUGACAAGAGAGGCUUACGUUCUGGUUCAUCACUACUUCCAAAGUACCAUGAAGAGGUGUGAGCUUGGGGUUGGAAAGGAUCUCUGGAAAGAAG